rnacentral:lncRNA from 1 species
UUGUUUCCGUCGCGCCUGUAGGUUCUCAGCACUUCCUUUCUUCCCUGUUGUCUUCUCCAUGAUCUACUCUACCGCCUUGACCCUCUAUCUUGCACAGGGUAGUACCGAGCCGAGAGCAAGUGCCUCGAUCCGAAGAUCACAGCCACCGCCCGACCUCUGUCACCACCGAGCGUAGCUGCGACGGGAGCAUCCCCCGCUCUACACCAAUAGCACCAUCGUCCUCGGAGCUUCGCGGCGCACACGCCUCUGUACUUCUCCGUCGCCUAGUACCGCUGGAGCCGCCGCCCCGUCCACAACCGCAGCGACCGUGCCGGUCUUCCCCAACUCCGGCCAGCGUAUUCUGCUCUUUUCGGUGAGCACAUCUCCCGGUCCGUCCGAUCUUGUUUCAACCGCCCAGAUUAAGUGUUUUUUUCUGUGAACCGGUAUACACUAAGUAGCGUCUGUCCGUUAAAUAGGCCAUUACAGCAAACACCCUACAGCCACUCACACCUUGACACGUGGCACAUCCACAGCUGCCGCAUCAGUUCUCCCAGAAAUCUGUUUUAGAACAAUUUAUUUUGGCAGAUUCCAUAUCAAAUGUUCAUUUAGGUAUAUCUUGAGAUUUGUAUGUCCAAAUUGAUCGAUUCUUUUUCCUGUGUACUCAUAGUGACCAGGAGAAUACUGUAGAGCCAAAAUUUCACAUGUUUGAACUUUUCAAAUUUGAAUUUGUUCAAAUUUGAAUUCAAACUUCCGGAGACCAUAUCUUUUAAAACGUUGAUCCAAAUUAGUUGAUUGUUUUGCAUUGUUAUCCUACUAGCAUGUAGAUAAUAUAUACCUAUUGAUGUUCUGUUAUUUAAGUUUUAUUUGAAUUAUUUUAUGUUGACUUUAUUGUGGCGUUAUGUGAGUACGGUUUAUUUAUCGGGUGCCUUCAUUAAUCGUAUAGAUUGUCCGGAGUGUGAAGCGGAUCAGAAUUAAUCGUUAGAGUACUUCAACACCAUUCAAGACAAGUUUGCACUUUUGAUUUUGCUCAACCUAUAUUCUGGUAUGCAUGUGUGAUUUUUAUGCUAUGACAUGUGCUUGGUUCGAUCUGUAUGUUCUCUAUUGUCAUAUUCUGAUAUUGAUUGUAUUAUGUGAUGGUGUGAUCAACUUGCCAUGGUAGACGUGGGAUGUGUCGAGUGAUCCAUGAAAGUGAUGAGUGUUUAUAGCCGUAGUGAAGUGGCGCCACCAAUAUAUAAUGUUGCUCACGAGACUGUGUAUUUUCAGCUCAAGGAGAAUGGCCAGAGGCAAACUAUGAUCUUGGAAUACAAGGUUAAAUUAGCUGAACAUGCAUAUGGGCCGGAGAAAUCAUGCAUGGACGUGGGACUCCUCUUGGUUGACCAAUGGGAAAAUGAGUUUGGCUCAUCCACGUACAUGACAGGUAACAAGGCAAGUCAGUUUGUAAAGGAAAGUGAUCAAAAGAGACAGGAAAAUAAAGACUGUUAUUUUUUUAGUCGGUCACGACCACCAGAAGUUGCUGAUGGUUUGCCUAACAAGCAUCGCUCGUGGAGAUUAUUCUCC